GGUCAGAAGCUCAAUGGCGC
rnacentral:piRNA from 1 species